AACACUAAUUCACUAUUAAAGUCACCAAAACUUAAGCAUUUUCAACAAAUAAAGUCACCAACAACAUCACCUUCUAAACAAAAGUUCACUUUUAAAGUCACCAAAACUUAAUCAUUUUCAACUAAUAAAGUCACCAACCACAUCACCUCCUAAACAAUAAUCCAUUAUUAAAGUCACCAAAACUUAAGCAUUUUCAACAAAUAAAGUCACCAACAACAUCACCUUCUAAACAAAAGUUCACUUUUAAAGUCACCAAAACUAAAGCAUUUUCAACUAAUAAAGUCACCAACCAGAUCACCUCCUAGACACAAAUUCACUAUUAAAUUCGCCAAAACUUAAGCAUUUUCAACAAAUAAAGUCACCAACAACAUCACCUUCUAAACAAAAGUUCACUUUUAAAGUCACCAAAACUAAAGCAUUUUCAACUAAUAAAGUCACCAACCAGAUCACCUCCUAGACACAAAUUCACUAUUAAAUUCGCCAAAACUUAAGCAUUUUCAACAAAUAAAGUCACCAACAACAUCACCUUCUAAACAAAAGUUCACUUUUAAAGUCACCAAAACUAAAGCAUUUUCAACUAAUAAAGUCACCAACCAGAUCACCUCCUAGACACAAAUUCACUAUUAAAUUCGCCAAAACUUAAGCAUUUUCAACAAAUAAAGUCACCAACAACAUCACCUUCUAAACAAAAGUUCACUUUUAAAGUCACCAAAACUUAAGCAUUUUCAACUAAUAAAGUCACCAACCUCAUCACCUCCUAAACACUAAUCCAUUAUUAAAGUCACCAAAACUUAAACAUUUUCAACAAAUAAAGUCACCAACAAUAUCACCUUCUAAACACUAAUUCACUAUUAAAGUCACCGGCACUUAAGCAUUUUCAACAAAUAAAGUAACCAACAACAUCACCUUCUAAACAAAAGUUCACUUUUAAAGUCACCAAAACUUAAGCAUUUUCAACUAAUAAAGUCACCAACCACAUCACCUCCUAAACACUAAUUCACUAUUAAAGUCACCAAAACUUAAGCAUUUUCAACAAAUAAAGUCACCAACAACAUCAUCUUCUAAACACUAGUUCACUAUUAAAG
rnacentral:lncRNA from 1 species